AAAAUCAUUCCCUUUAACCAGGGAAAAUCCCUCUGCACUUCGUUCAUCUCCCAGACUCCCACCCAGAAAGAAAACCCUCGCCCUUUAACCAUGUUCAUCUCCCACCCAUCAUCGACUCCUCGUCCGGUGUCGAGGAAUGGAUUGAUCUGAGCAACUCCUCUCUCUCUCUCUCUCUCUCUCUCUGUUCUCUUCUCUUCCUCCGUCCCCUCCUUCCCACCUUACAUCCACCCCGUGGACGUCGCCACCGCCCCCACAACCAACAACAACGGCGUCGAGCCGCCAUCGGACAACCCGGUUUCAAUCCAAAUCUGAAACCCACCUUCAACGAGAGCAAGGCCGAGAUCCUGAAGCUCCCCCACGCCCACGUCAAACCCAGUAUUUGUGUUUGGUGAAAAUUAUGCAUUGGCGCUCCACCAUGUUCAGCAGUUUCCCACAUCUCAAGGAUGGGAAUGGCUUUAAGAUAGGUUAUCCUGCUUUCAGUUAUGUAAACCAAAGGAAAUACAGUAGCCAGAACUUUUCAGAACCGAUCAACAAAACUGUUACAGCCAAUGGUCAUGUUUGCAAUAAUGCCGAUCCCUUGCCCAAAAUUUGGCAUCCUGAAACUCAUUCCAUUCUCCAAUCAAGUGGUCUUCAGCACUGUUCUAUAGCUUAUGCUCUUGGUGUUUUCUGGUGUCCAAAAAAGGAAGGUGCGUACUGGCUGCUUUCCAACAUACAGCCUGUUUUCCAACAUUCCUGAAAGGAAUUGAAAUGAAACAUUGGUUUGGUCCGUCGUCUGUUCCCCGAAUUUCAUCUUCUCUGGGAUCACAAUGCGAGAGUUUGUGGAGAUUACAGACUGUAAAUUACUGUAGGCAUUUAGUUUCCAUUAGGAACCAAUACUCUUGGUCAGUGAUUGGCUUGGCUUAUAUGUAUCGGAUGGUUCUAUCUAAAUUUUUGUUCAAUAAUUGUAGUGUUUUCGUCACUUAAA